rfam:Schistosoma rodhaini strain Burundi genome assembly, scaffold: SROB_scaffold0006254
AUCCAGCUGACGAGUCCCAAAUAGGACGAAACGCGCUUCAAACUGAAU